GCCUGGGUGGCUCAGUCGGUUGAGCAUCUGACUUCGGCUCAGGUCAUGAUCGUGCAGUCUGUGAGUUUGAGCCCCGCGUCAGGCU
rnacentral:tRNA from 1 species